rnacentral:lncRNA from 1 species
UUUUGAUCUCCUGGCGGGAUUUUAAGAGUUGAAGGUAGUCAGGGCAACAAGAGCUGGACAGCCAAGCUCAGGACAACAUGGAGCCCUGCGUGCUGGGAGGGAGCAAAGCGGGGCACACUUAGUGAAUCCUCUCCACCACCACCCCUGCGUCAAAGCCAAGCGGGGAGUGGGAAUGGGUUUAGUUUAGCUUUUACAUUCCAUCGUUCACAUGGGUAGCUGCAGGGUUUGGUAUUCUCUGAUCCACGGCAACGUGAGCCAAGGGGGCUCUGUCUGCACUUGGCAGAGCUUGAAGAUAUGCCGCUGCUUGGACCCUGGAUAGGGAAACUUUAAAAUUUUCUCAGUGUAUAAACACAACUGAGAAUCAUUUCCAUUCGUUCAGUAGGUGUUAAAUUCCUAGGAGUGUAUGAAACUCAGUGGAAGGCACUGUGUGAGCAUGUUGUAUUCUGUGUCGUGCGUAUCGUUGCUAAGUAUGAGGUAAAGACCAGAAUAGUGUGACCUCAGAGUCCUCUGUGGUGAUAUUAGAUAAGCUUUUCUGAAACGUCUUUAGUGACCCACUUGCUAAAGGUAACACUCAGAGAAGGGGCUACACUGGACGAAAUGAGAGUAUUUAAGUUUGAAGAUUGUGCUUUGGUAAUUGAACAGUUGAUGCUGUAAAUAAAACUACUGAUUUUCCUCUUUCCUGCCCUUUUGUGAUCACACACCAAAUAGUGGUUUCCCGGGUCUCAGACUGGCUGGUAAUGAGGAAAAUAUGUGGAAGUUAGAAACCAAAUCCCAGCUCUGAAAUCUGUCC